UACGAAGGGUGCAAACGUUGCUCGGAAUUAUUGGGCGUAAAGCGCACGUAGGCGGCUUAGCAAGUCGGAAGUGAAAGCCCUCGGCUCAACCAAGGAAGUGCUUUCGAAACUGCUGAGCUUGAGUAGUUAAGAGGAUCGCGGAAUUCCCGGUGUAGAGGUGAAAUUCGUAGAUAUCGGGAGGAACACCAGUGGCGAAGGCGGCUCACUGGCUCGUAACUGACGCUCAUGCACGACAGCGUGGGGAUCAAACAGG
rnacentral:rRNA from 1 species